UACGAAGGGGGCUAGCGUUGUUCGGAAUUACUGGGCGUAAAGCGCGCGCAGGCGGUCUUCCAAGUCAGUGGUGAAAGCCCGGAGCUCAACUCCGGAACUGCCAUUGAAACUGUGAGACUUGAGUACGAGAGAGGUGAGUGGAAUUCCCAGUGUAGAGGUGAAAUUCGUAGAUAUUGGGAAGAACACCGGUGGCGAAGGCGGCUCACUGGCUCGUAACUGACGCUCAGGCGCGACAGCGUGGGGAGCAAACAGG
rnacentral:rRNA from 1 species